rnacentral:rRNA from 1 species
AUACGGAGGGGGCUAGCGUUGUACGGAAUUACUGGGCGUAAAGCGCGUGUAGGCGGAUCGUUAAGUCAGGGGUGAAAGCCCGGGGCUCAACCCCGGAACUGCCCUUGAUACUGGCGAUCUAGAGUCCGGAAGAGGUGGGCGGAAUUCCCGGUGUAGAGGUGAAAUUCGUAGAUAUCGGGAGGACCACCAGUGGCGAAGGCGGCUCACUGGUCCGGCACUGACGCUGAGACGCGAAAGCGUGGGGAGCAAACAGGAUUAGAAACCCUAGUAGUCC